AACGAACGCUGGCGGCGCGCUUAACACAUGCAAGUCGAACGAGAAGGCGUGGCAAUACGCUGGUACAGUGGCGAACGGGUGAGGAAUACAUGGGUAACCUACCCUCGAGUGGGGGAUAACCCGCCGAAAGGCGGGCUAAUACCGCGUACGCUUCCGAUCUUGCGGGAUCGGAAGGAAAGCUGUCCCAAGGGGAUGGCGCUCAAGGAUGGGCUCAUGUCCUAUCAGCUUGUUGGAGGGUAACGGCCUACCAAGGCAUCGACGGGUAGCUGGUCUGAGAGGACGAUCAGCCACACUGGCACUGCGACACGGGCCAGACUCCUACGGGAGGCAGCAGUGAGGAAUAUUGCGCAAUGGGCGAAAGCCUGACGCAGCGACGCCGCGUGGGGGAUGAAGGUC
rnacentral:rRNA from 1 species